CUUGAAAUCCUGAGCAAUUUCCCUGACAAGCCUCUGAAAUGGCAGCUUCCUUAUGAGAAGCUCUGUGCUCUUCUGGUACUUCCUGAUUUCACGAAGGGCAACAGUACCAGGACGGUAGCGGUGAGGCUUCUUCACUCCCCCAGUUGUAGGGGCAGACUUGCGAGCAGCCUUGGUGGCAAGCUGCUUCCUUGGUGCCUUCCCUCCAGUGGACUUGCGAGCAGUUUGC
rnacentral:misc_RNA from 1 species